UAUUAAGCGGAGGAAAAGAAACUAACCAGGAUUUCCUCAGUAGCGGCGAGCGAACAGGAAAGAGCCCAGCACCGAAUCCCGCGGUUCCGCCGCAGGGAAAUGUGGUGUUCGGGAGGGUCCGCUUAUCCCGAGGUGCCGCGUCGCGUCCAAGUCCAUCUUGAAUGGGGCCACUUACCCGCAGAGGGUGCCAGGCCCGUAGCGACCGGUGCGCGCCUCGGGAGGAUCUCUCCUUAGAGUCGGGUUGCUUGAGAGUGCAGCUCUAAGUGGGUGGUAAACUCCAUCUAAGGCUAAAUACGACCACGAGACCGAUAGCGAACAAGUACCGUGAGGGAAAGUUGAAAAGAACUUUGAAGAGAGAGUUCAAGAGUACGUGAAACCGUUCAGGGGUAAACCUAAGAAACCCAAAAGAUCGAACGGGGAGAUUCAUCGUCAGCGACGCCGGUUUCGCGUCGGUGGGCGAUGCCGCGCGGGGCCUCGCGGCCCGCCUGCGCCGGCACGCUGCCGCGCGUCGAUGUCCGGCGUUCGUCGUCGUGCACUUCUCCCCUAGUAGAACGUCGCGACCCGCUGGGUGUCGGUCUACGGCCCGGGUGCGGUGACUGACGCGUCGCACGGUAAAACGGCACGCGUCAAACCCCCGGUCGCCCGGCCGGCUGCCCGGCGGUACACGCAAGGUAUCAGGCCGCAGCCGCGAUCCCUCGUCGCGCGCGCGCGCCGUCGCCGCUCCCUCGUUCGCGCGGGGGGGCGCGUGGACGUGCGCCGCGUCCGCGCGCGAGGAGCGUAUGCGUCGAGGCCGUCGCAAGCGCGUGCCACGGUACACGGAGGUUAAAAACGGACCUGGCGCCGUCACCGGUCCUGGCCCGCUGUUGGUCGCACGGUAACAGGUGCGCGCGCGUGCGCCCGUCGUGUCGUCGUCGCCUCGCGCGUCGGCGGUGCGCGUGGUGCCGCGCGCGCACGCCUUCGACAGGCCCGCGAACGUCCCAGGCGCCGCCGUCGGGCCGUCGCGUCUCUCCCUCUCCAUGGGGGGCGGCGUAAGGUUCGGCGCGCGCGCGUCCGGUGACCGAUACCGGUCGGCGACGCUACUGCUUUGGGUACUCUUAGGACCCGUCUUGAAACACGGACCAAGGAGUCUAACAUGUACGCGAGUCAUUGGGACUCUGUGUGUAUACCUAAAGGCGUAAUGAAAGUGAAGGUCGGCCCCGGUUGUCGACCGAGGGAGGAUGGGCCGCGUCGCGACGCGGCCUCGCACUCCCGGGGCGUCUCGUUCUCAUCGCGAGAAGAGGCGCACCCAGAGCGUACACGUUGGGACCCGAAAGAUGGUGAACUAUGCCUGGUCAGGACGAAGUCAGGGGAAACCCUGAUGGAGGUCCGUAGCGAUUCUGACGUGCAAAUCGAUCGUCGGAACUGGGUAUAGGGGCGAAAGACUAAUCGAACCAUCUAGUAGCUGGUUCCCUCCGAAGUUUCCCUCAGGAUAGCUGGCACUCGGCCGUUCCGCACGGAACGCGCGCGAGUCUCAUCUGGUAAAGCGAAUGAUUAGAGGCCUUGGGGCCGAAACGACCUCAACCUAUUCUCAAACUUUAAAUGGGUGAGAUCUCUGGCUUUCUUGAACUAUGAAGCCACGAGCUCACGUAUCACGGAUCAGAGUGCCAAGUGGGCCAUUUUUGGUAAGCAGAACUGGCGCUGUGGGAUGAACCAAACGCAGAGUUAAGGCGCCCAACUCGACGCUCAUGGGACACCAUGAAAGGCGUUGGUUGCUUAAGACAGCAGGACGGUGGCCAUGGAAGUCGGAAUCCGCUAAGGAGUGUGUAACAACUCACCUGCCGAAGCAACUAGCCCUGAAAAUGGAUGGCGCUGAAGCGUCGAGCCUAUACUCUGCCGUCAGCGGCAAGUGGGGCGGCCGUCUCGCGCGCCGCGCGCGCGCGCCUGGUCGUCGCGUGUUCGCGCGCGUGGCGUCUCUCGUCGUUCGUGCGCGCGCGCGCGUUCGGCCGCCACGAGGCCCUGACGAGUAGGAGGGUCGCGGCGGUGUGCGCAGAAGGGUCUGGGCGCGAGCCUGCCUGGAGCCGCCGUCGGUGCAGAUCUUGGUGGUAGUAGCAAAUACUCCAGCGAGGCCCUGGAGGACUGACGUGGAGAAGGGU
rnacentral:rRNA from 1 species